UUAAUGUUUGAUGUUCUAACGUGGACCCGUAAUCCGGGUUGCGGACAGUGUCUGGUGGGUAGUUUGACUGGGGCGGUCUCCUCCCAAAGAGUAACGGAGGAGCACGAAGGUUAGCUAAUCCUGGUCGGACAUCAGGAGGUUAGUGCAAUGGCAUAAGCUAGCUUGACUGCGAGCGUGACGGCGCGAGCAGGUGCGAAAGCAGGUCAUAGUGAUCCGGUGGUUCUGAAUGGAAGGGCCAUCGCUCAACGGAUAAAAGGUACUCCGGGGAUAACAGGCUGAUACCGCCCAAGAGUUCAUAUCGACGGCGGUGUUUGGCACCUCGAUGUCGGCUCAUCACAUCCUGGGGCUGAAGUAGGUCCCAAGGGUAUGGCUGUUCGCCAUUUAAAGUGGUACGCGAGCUGGGUUUAGAACGUCGUGAGACAGUUCGGUCCCUAUCUGCCGUGGGCGCUGGAGAAUUGAGGGGGGCUGCUCCUAGUACGAGAGGACCGGAGUGGACGCAUCACUGGUGUUCGGGUUGUCAUGCCAAUGGCAUUGCCCGGUAGCUAAAUGCGGAAGAGAUAAGUGCUGAAAGCAUCUAAGCACGAAACUUGCCCCGAGAUGAGUUCUCCCUGA
rnacentral:rRNA from 1 species